rnacentral:rRNA from 1 species
AGAGAGAGACAUGCGCGCAUAUCAAUAAGCGGAGGAAAAGAAACUAACAAGGAUUCCCUUAGUAACGGCGAGUGAAGCGGGAAGAGCUCAAAUUUGAAAUCUUCAAGGUUUUACCUUGACAAAUUGUAGUUUAAAGAAGUGUUUUCUGCUGAAGUUUUGGUAAAAGUUCUUUGGAAUAGGACAUCAUAGAGGGUGAGAAUCCCGUAUUUGACCAUUAUUUUCAGCUUUGUGAUACACUUUCAAAGAGUCGGAUUGUUUGGGAAUGCAGUCCAAAAUGGGUGGUAAAUUUCAUCUAAAGCUAAAUAUUGGCGAGAGACCGAUAGCGAACAAGUACCGUGAGGGAAAGAUGAAAAGAACUUUGAAAAGAGAGUUAAACAGUACGUGAAAUUGUCAAAAGGGAAGCGUUUGACACCAGUGUUGUUUUCUCGAAAAUCAAUUAAAAAUGGCUCGAUUUUGUAUUGCUUGAGACCUUAAAAGCUCACUGUACAUUUUUCGUGUCUUUUUUAAUGCACUUUUCGUUUAACAAGUCAACAUCAGUUUCUUUUGUUGUAAAAGGGUCAUUGGAAGGUGGCUUUCUUUUCGGAGAAAGUGUUUAUAGCCUUUGGCCUCUGCAAUCGGAGAGACUUGAGGUCUGCAGCGUAGACUCUUCGGGGUUAGAUACAUUUGUGCUAAGUUAUAGCUUUUUAUAGACAACUUGUUGACUAUAAUUAGUCUUGUAGCUUACUCGCUUAUGCUAUUUUACCUACGCUUAGGAUGUUGAAGUCAUCGUAUCGCGC